UACAGAGGGGGCAAGCGUUAUUCGGAAUCAUUGGGCGUAAAGCGCGUGUAGGCGGCUUGGUAAGUCCGCUCUGAAAGCCCGGGGCUCAACCCCGGGAGGCGGGUGGAUACUGUCAAGCUCGAGUCCGGAAGAGGCGAGUGGAAUUCCUGGUGUAGCGGUGAAAUGCGCAGAUAUCAGGAGGAACACCAAUGGCGAAGGCAGCUCGCUGGGACGUGACUGACGCUGAGACGCGAAAGCGUGGGGAGCAAACAGG
rnacentral:rRNA from 1 species